rnacentral:rRNA from 1 species
AAUGAACGCUGGCGGCGUGCUUAACACAUGCAAGUCGAGCGAGAAAGUCGACUUCGGUCGACGAGUAAAGCGGCGAACGGGUGAGUAACACGUGGGGUAACCUGCCCUGGGAUGGGGGGAUAACCUGGGGAAACUCGGGCUAAUACCGCAUACGUUCUCGGCACUGCGGUGCCGAGAGGAAAGCUGGCCAAUGCUUGCAAGCUAGCGCUCUUUGAGGGACCCGCGUCCGAUUAGCUUGUUGGUGGGGUAACGGCCUACCAAGGCUGCGAUCGGUAGCCGGCCUGAGAGGGUGAUCGGCCACACUGGGACUGAGACACGGCCCAGACUCCUACGGGAGGCAGCAGUGGGGAAUAUUGGACAAUGGGCGCAAGCCUGAUCCAGCAACGCCGCGUGGAGGACGAAGGCCUUCGGGUCGUAAACUCCUGUCAGUUGGGAACGAAAAGCUGUCGGUGAAUAUCCGGCAGUCAUGACGGUACCAGCAGAGGAAGCCCCGGCUAACUCCGUG